ensembl:snRNA U1 U1 spliceosomal RNA
AUACUUACCUGGCCGGGGAGAUACCAUGAUCACGAAGGUGGUUUUCCCAGGGCGAGGCUUAUCCAUUGUGCUCCGGAUGAGCUAACCUCUGUGAUUUCCCCAAAUGCAGGAAACUUGACUGCAUAAUUUGUGGUAGUAGGGGACUGCGUUCGUGCUCUCCCCUG